CGCGGGGUGGAGUAAUGGUAUCUCAUCAGGCUCAUAACCUGAAGACGCUCGUUCGAAUCGAGCCCCCGCAA
rnacentral:tRNA from 2 species